AUUUCACAAUUCUCAGUAAAGCUUUGAAGAAAGGAUUGGAGUCAGCUUUGGAUGGUUUAUCUGAAACACACCACAGCAAGCUGCUAGACAGCUUCACAAUGCUUUUUUAUGACACUACAACAAGAUUGGUCCUUUGAGUUUUAAACUGCGGCGUAAUGGCAACGAUAAAUAUUCCCCCCAUGUCACAGCAGGACUUCGAUACAAUAAGGAUCUGUACAUUAAUGUGGCUGAAAGUGCUUCAAAUAUAAAAGCUUCUGGAUUCAGUCUUCUGGAUGCUGCACUCACAAAGGUUCCACUGAGAGAUGAGUUGUCUGAUUAACAGGAUUUUUACAUCACAUUGGGAAUGCCUUUCAAUUGAAGCAGGAAAUGGCGUUAAACCA